rnacentral:rRNA from 1 species
UAGGGAAUCUUCCGCAAUGGACGAAAGUCUGACGGAGCAACGCCGCGUGAGUGAAGAAGGAUUUCGGUUCGUAAAACUCUGUUGUUAGGGAAGAAAAAAUGUAUAGUAACUAUAUACAAAAGAGACGGUACCUAACCAGAAAGCCACGGCUAACUACGUGCCAGCAGCCGCGGUAAUACGUAGGUGGCAAGCGUUGUCCGGAAUUAUUGGGCGUAAAGCGCGCGCAGGUGGAAAUGCAAGUCAGGUGUAAAAGGCAGUAGCUUAACUACUGUAAGCAUUUGAAACUGCAUAUCUUGAGAAGAGUAGAGGUAAGUGGAAUUUUUAGUGUAGCGGUGAAAUGCGUAGAUAUUAAAAAGAAUACCGGUGGCGAAGGCGACUUACUGGGCUCAUUCUGACGCUGAGGAACGAAAGCGUGGGUAGCAAACAGG